rnacentral:rRNA from 2 species
GGUUAAGCGACUAAGCGUACACGGUGGAUGCCCUGGCAGUCAGAGGCGAUGAAGGGCGUGCUAAUCUGCGAUAAGCGCCGGUAAGGUGAUAUGAACCGUUAUAACCGGCGAUACCCGAAUGGGGAAACCCAGUGUGUUUCGACACACUAUCAUUAACUGAAUCCAUAGGUUAAUGAGGCGAACCGGGGGAACUGAAACAUCUAAGUACCCCGAGGAAAAGAAAUCAACCGAGAUUCCCCCAGUAGCGGCGAGCGAACGGGGAGGAGCCCAGAGUCUGAAUCAGCAUGUGUGUUAGUGGAAGCGUCUGGAAAGGCGCGCGAUACAGGGUGACAGCCCCGUACACAAAAGCGCAUGUGCUGUGAGCUCGAUGAGUAGGGCGGGACACGUGGUAUCCUGUCUGAAUAUGGGGGGACCAUCCUCCAAGGCUAAAUACUCCUGACUGACCGAUAGUGAACCAGUACCGUGAGGGAAAGGCGAAAAGAACCCCGGCGAGGGGAGUGAAAAAGAACCUGAAACCGUGUACGUACAAGCAGUGGGAGCACCCUUUUGGGUGUGACUGCGUACCUUUUGUAUAAUGGGUCAGCGACUUAUAUUCUGUAGCAAGGUUAACCGAAUAGGGGAGCCGGAGGGAAACCGAGUCUUAAUUGGGCGUUAAGUUGCAGGGUAUAGACCCGAAACCCGGUGAUCUAGCCAUGGGCAGGUUGAAGGUUGGGUAACACUAACUGGAGGACCGAACCGACUAAUGUUGAAAAAUUAGCGGAUGA